GGUCCUGUGCCUGCUGUCCAUUGCCGCUAAGGCCUGCUGCUGCCAUUCAGGCGUGUCUCUCUCUCUCUCUCUCUUUCAUGCCGCUCUCUCCACCCCAUCUUGGGACGGCCAGCUCUAAGAAUUCCUGCUACGACACUGAAUUCAACCAGGAGGUGAUGCCACACUCAAUCAGAAACUAUGCUACUGCUGAAGAGGUAUAUUGAGCCCUGCCUGGUUAACCUCCAGUGAGGUUAUUAGAGAAUUGGGAGAGGCUCAAAUCAGCAUCCUGCACCUAGUUAUCAAACCAUUGUGAAGUCUUGAUUCCUGGAUGGCCAGAAAACUUGUCAUUGGUCAAGAGCAACAUUAAGAUCUGCCUGUUACUCAUACUGAUGCUUCCUGCCCAGCAAGUUCAUCAGAGGGCGAGGAUGAAUUACGGUUGCCAUGAAUGUCCUUGUGAGGCAGUUGGGAAGCCUUGGCUGGAUUGUGAAGGAUAUUUGAAAAGUAUUUUAGAGUCCACCAGAUCAUCCAUGUGAGUGACCAUGCAGCAAAAGAAGGAGGGUCCUCUCAGUGAUUAAGGAUUAUGAAGUAUUAAUUCUUCCACUGAUAUCUCAAAAGGUGAUCUGGACAAAGGAACAGGUAUCUCAGAGACAGGGUUUUACCAUGUUGCCCAGGCUAGAUUUGAACUCCUGGGCUCAAGUGAUCCUCUCGACCCAGCCUCCUGAGUAUCUGUGACUGCAGGCAAGUACCCCUGUGCCUGCUCACUUAUUUAAAGUUCUACACAUCAAAUACUAAAUUCUCAUCUAUUUGACUUCUGGACUCACUGGUUGGUGUCAUUGACUGUCUUUUCCUGUGAUAGCAUAGAAUUAUUUUGAUUGUGGAAGUACUAUAAAUGUUGCUAUUUAUUGUGCCUCUUGCUGCCUAUCUAUAUUUAGACUCAUUUAUGUGAUGCCAUUCUGUAUACUCUAAAUUUUUUGGUUCUAUUUUAAUAAUGUUUGAGUCAAUGACUUUUCAUGACUCUUGACUUCCCUACUUCAACAGUUUACUAGUCUCCAUCUUGAAUGUUUUUAUUAAUCUAUUUUGUGUUAAUUCUACCCAGGUUUUUUGUUUUUCCUUGCUACUAUUAUAUAUAUUUCUGCCAGAUGUCACAUGGUAUAAAUGCCUAUAUGGACUUUUGUAACAGAAAAUUUACUUACUAGAAUUAAUGUAGGGGGCUUUUUAAUAAGAGUGCAUGUAACAUAGUAACAGUAGCAGAGCUAUAUCAGAAACAGUUCUGAUAAUAUUUCAUGAUCUAUAGUUUGUUGCAUGCCCAUUGCUUCAUACUGCUUGUGUUCUUGGUUGAGUCAUAAGUAAUUUUUAUGGGGUGUGUCAUGACUGUCAUAUUCAUAGAGAGUUGUCUGCCUUGCCCCAUGGUCUUUGCAUGGCUUAAACAGGACCCCUUUUCAUACACAAGUCAUUCAAUUUUAUGUUUUUAAUAGCAUCAAUUUUAGUGUUUAACAUGUGUCUCUGGACUAUGCAUCAGAAUACUUGACUGUUAGUGUGAAAUGAAAAUUCAUGGAUAUCAUAAUUUAUGUAACAUAAUUUAACAUUUCUUUAUUAAUAAGACUUUAGAUUGUCCCUUUCACAAAAAAAUGGUGCGGUUAAAACUUAA
ensembl:lncRNA FTX FTX transcript, XIST regulator